UUACGACCAUAUCACGUUGAAACUCCUGUUCUACGAACACCGAAGUUAAGUAACGUUGAGACUGGCCAUUACUUAAAUGGGUGACCGCUUUGGAAAACCAGAUAUUGCAAG